CUGUGCAGGGUGGAGAAGCAGGGCACGUGCAUUGCUAUCUGACAGCUGAGAGAUAGAUAGUUCCUCAUGUGCUCAUCUUCUCCACCAUGCCCAA
rnacentral:pre_miRNA from 1 species